GUGGCCUCUGCCUACGCGGCCCAAUUCUUGGGAAUGGUAUACUCUCCCAUGGAGCACAUGAUCUGGAAAGCUUGUGCCCCUCCCAAGGUCAAGUUCUUCUCUUGGUUGGCUAACCAAGAUCGUAUUUGGACCGCCGAUAGAAUCGCCAGGCGGGGAUGGCCUAACUAGGGUAUGUUCCCGCUAUGCGAGCAAGUUUAGGAAUUCGGGCCACACCUCUUAUACAAAUGCUGGUUCACGCUUAGACUCUGGAACUUGAUAAAUGACUGGCUACACUUGAUUGACUUUGAUACUUCAAAUUGGCACCUCGUGGACUCCGUUACCAAAUGGUGGUCCAGGAGAUCCGACGACCGCAUGCCCAAGAGGAAGGCCAUGGCGGCCCUGACAAUGCUUAUGGGAUGGACCAUUUGAAAUGAGCGGAACGCCCAUGUCUUUGAGCACAAGAAUACACCAACAUCAUUCUUGUUCAACAAUAUUAGAUGUGAGAUCAAACUUUGGAUUUCCGCCGGAGCAAAGAAAUUGGGAGAGUGA
rnacentral:rRNA from 1 species